AGGGAGAGGAAGUGGGGCGGGGAUGGGCUCCCGCACAGACACACAUGCGCACAUGGAGGAAGGAAGCCCUGCAGGCGGAGAAACCAUCUAGAGAACCUCUGAACACAGCCAGAUGUUGCUGAUGAUGGAGCUGGAGGCUGGGCUGGACGAUGGUCCGAGGACAGCGACCACCCCCUUGGGGAGGAUCUGACACACUGCAGCCAGCGGCAGGGACAGGGAAAGAAGCAAAGCACUCAUCAGAUACAAAAUCAACAGAGAGAAAUUAAAGAGCAGAGUCAAGAUUCAACAGCUCCACCCAUUUCCCCAAAGACCGGCCCCUUAACCACUGCACCGCACAGCCAUCCCCAGCAAAUGGCAAUUAACUGGGAUGUUUGUAGAUUGCCUUGGCCACUGGAACACUGAGUUAUUGUCUUCCCUUUUUUCAUUUCACUACUUUCUAUAAUGAGCAUGUAUUCCUUUUUAUAACAUAUUAUAAAGAAUACAAUGCUAUAAUAAAAACAUUCUUCUGAUGAGCAA
rnacentral:lncRNA from 10 species